GACGAACGCUGGCGGCGUGCUUAACACAUGCAAGUCGAACGAAGUGGCGAACGGGUGAGUAACGCGUAAUCAACCUGCCCUUCAGUGGGGGACAACAGUUGGAAACGACUGCUAAUACCGCAUACUGAAGGAGGGGAUUUCGUCUGGUUAGCUAGUUGGAGGGGUAACGGCCCACCAAGGCGAUGGUCAGUAGCCGGUCUGGGGGGGAGGACGGCCACAUUGGGACUGGGACAAGGCCCAGACUCCUACGGGAGGGAGCAGUGGGGAAACUGCCGAAAUGGACGAAAGUCUGACGGCGCAACGCCGCGGGAGUGAUGACGGCCUUCGGGUUGUAAAGCUCUGUUAAUCGGGACGCAGUACCGGAAUAGAAAGCCACGGCUAACUACGUGCCAGCAGCCGCGGUAAUUC
rnacentral:rRNA from 1 species